UAUCAUGGCUCAGAUUGAACGCUGGCGGCAUGCCUAACACAUGCAAGUCGAACGGUAACGCGGAGAGCUUGCUCUCUGGCGACGAGUGGCGGACGGGUGAGUAAUACUUAGGAAUCUGCCCAUUAGUGGGGGACGAACUCGGGGAAACUCGAGCUAAUACCGCAUACGCCCUACGGGGGAAAGCGGAGGACUCUUCGGAGCUUCGCGCUAAUGGAUGAGCCUAAGUCGGAUUAGCUUGUUGGUGGGGUAAAGGCCUACCAAGGCGACGAUCCGUAGCUGGUCUGAGAGGACGAUCAGCCACACUGGGACUGAGACACGGCCCAGACUCCUACGGGAGGCAGCAGUGGGGAAUAUUGGACAAUGGGGGGCAACCCUGAUCCAGCAAUGCCGCGUGUGUGAAGAAGGCCUGCGGGUUGUAAAGCACUUUCAGUAGAGAAGAAAAGCCUGGCGUUAAUACCGCCGGGUCUUGACGUAACCUACAGAAGAAGCACCGGCUAACUCCGUGCCAGCCGCCGCGGUAAUAC
rnacentral:rRNA from 1 species